rnacentral:rRNA from 1 species
UACGAAGGGAGCUAGCGUUGUUCGGAAUCACUGGGCGUAAAGCGCACGUAGGCGGAUGUGUCAGUCAGGGGUGAAAUCCCGGAGCUCAACUUCGGAACUGCCUUUGAUACAGCACGUCUUGAGUCCGAUAGAGGUGGGUGGAAUUCCGUAGUGUAGAGGUGAAAUUCGGUAGAUAUUAGGAAGAACACCAGUGGCGAAGGCGGCUCACGUGGCCCGGUAGCGUGACGCUAGG